rnacentral:rRNA from 1 species
CGUACCUUUUGUAUAAUGGGUCAGCGACUUACAUUCAGUGGCAAGGUUAACCGAAUAGGGAAGCCGUAGAGAAAUCGAGUCCGAAUAGGGCGAAUUAGUCGCUGGGUGUAGACCCGAAACCAAGUGAUCUAUCCAUGGGCAGGAUGAAGGUGCCGUAACAGGUACUGGAGGUCCGAACCGACUAAUGUUGCAAAAUUAGCGGAUGACCUGUGGAUAGGGGUGAAAGGCUAAACAAACUUGGAAAUAGCUGGUUCUCUCCGAAAACUAUUUAGGUAGUGCCUCAAGUAUUACCUGCGGGGGUAGAGCACUGUUUUGGCUAGGGGGUCAUGGCGACUUACCAAACCAAUGCAAACUCCGAAUACCGCAGAGUACAGCUUGGGAGACAGAGCACCGGGUGCUAACGUCCGGACUCAAGAGGGAAACAACCCAGACCGCCAGCUAAGGUCCCUAAAAUUGGCUAAGUGGGAAACGAAGUGGGAAGGCUAAAACAGUCAGGAUGUUGGCUUAGAAGCAGCCAUCAUUUAAAGAAAGCGUAAUAGCUCACUGAUCGAGUCGUCCUGCGCGGAAGAUGUAACGGGGCUAAGCCAGUUACCGAAGCUGCGGAUUUGCAAUUUAUUGCAAGUGGUAGGAGAGCGUUCUGUAAGCCUGUGAAGGUGCGUUGUAAAGCGUGCUGGAGGUAUCAGAAGUGCGAAUGCUGACAUGAGUAGCGUUAAAGGGGGUGAAAAGCCCCCUCGCCGUAAGCGCAAGGUUUUCUACGCAACGUUCAUCGGCGUAGAGUGAGUCGGCCCCUAAGGCGAGGCAGAGAUGCGUAGUUGAUGGGAAACAGGUAAAUAUUCCUGUACCGAUGUGUAGUGCGAUGUGGGGACGGAGAAGGUUAGCUCAGCAGACUGUUGGAUAUGUCUGUUCAAGCCUGUAGUCGUGCCUGGUAGGUAAAUCCGCCGGGCUUAGAUGAGGGGUGAUAACGAGGAUGCUUGCAUCCGAAGUGAGUGAUACCCUGCUUCCAGGAAAAGCCACUAAGCUUCAGCUACACACGACCGUACCGCAAACCGACACUGGUGCGCGAGAUGAGUAUUCUAAGGCGCUUGAGAGAACUCAGGAGAAGGAACUCGGCAAAUUGACACCGUAACUUCGGAAGAAGGUGUGCCUUUAGUAUGUGAACCUGUACAAGGGGAGCAGAAUGAGGCCUCAGAGAAUCGGUGGCUGCGACUGUUUAAUAAAAACACAGCACUCUGCAAACACGAAAGUGGACGUAUAGGGUGUGACGCCUGCCCGGUGCUGGAAGAUUAAAUGAUGGGGUGCAAGCUCUUGAUUGAAGUCCCAGUAAACGGCGGCCGUAACUAUAACGGUCCUAAGGUAGCGAAAUUCCUUGUCGGGUAAGUUCCGACCUGCACGAAUGGCGUAACGAUGGCCACACUGUCUCCUCCUGAGACUCAGCGAAGUUGAAAUGUUUGUGAUGAUGCAAUCUCCCCGCGGAAAGACGGAAAGACCCCAUGAACCUUUACUGUAGCUUUGUAUUGGAUUUUGAACGGAUCUGUGUAGGAUAGGUGGGAGGCUUUGAAGCCGGGACGCUAGUCUCGGUGGAGCCAACGUUGAAAUACCACCCUGGUGCGUUUGAGGUUCUAACCUAGGUCCAUUAUCUGGAUCGGGGACAGUGCAUGGUAGGCAGU